rnacentral:rRNA from 1 species
UACGAAGGGGGCUAGCGUUGCUCGGAAUCACUGGGCGUAAAGGGCGCGUAGGCGGGAUGGCAAGUCGGUCGUGAAAUCUCUCGGCUCAACCGAGAAACGUCGGCCGAUACUGCCGUUCUUGAGGGAUGCAGAGGAGACUGGAAUUCCCGGUGUAGCGGUGAAAUGUGUAGAGAUCGGGAGGAACACCGGUGGCGAAGGCGGGUCUCUGGGCAUUUCCUGACGCUGAGGCGCGAAAGCGUGGGGAGCAAACGGG